rnacentral:tRNA from 1 species
GCGGGGAUAGCUCAGUUGGGAGAGCGUUAGACUGAAGAUCUAAAGGUCACGUGUUCGAUCCACGUUCACUGAA